rnacentral:rRNA from 1 species
GUAGGUGGCAAGCGUUGUCCGGAAUUAUUGGGCGUAAAGCGCGCGCAGGCGGUCCUUUAAGUCUGAUGUGAAAGCCCACGGCUCAACCGUGGAGGGUCAUUGGAAACUGGGGGACUUGAGUACAGAAGAGGAAAGCGGAAUUCCAAGUGUAGCGGUGAAAUGCGUAGAGAUUUGGAGGAACACCUGUGGCGAAGGCGGCUUUCUGGUCUGUAACUGACGCUGAGGCGCGAAAGCGUGGGGAGCAAACAGGGAUUAGAUACCCUGGUAGUCCACGCCGUAAACGAUGAGUGCUAAGUGUUAGGGGGGUUUCCGCCCCCUUAGUGCUGCAGCUAACGCAUUAAGCACUCCGCCUGGGGAUACGGCCGCAAGGCUG